CUGAUCUGAGCUGCUGCUAAGGACCGAAACGCGCCUCAAGCUGUCACUUGCCGCCUGGAGUUCGUUGGGAAAGUUGAAAAAGCCUAGUCCUGUUUAGGAAAUCUAUCCAGCUGUGUAUAUACUUUUUGCUUUUAGGGUAUGAAGCUCAGGAAGGAUAAGAAAAACAAGAUCACACAGCUGGCAAGUGGCAAAGCAGGACACAAUUUAUAACUCCAGAACGAGAAUUUGCAGUUGUUGCGCCAGAUGCCCUGUAGCGGCUAAUGAGGAUGUGAUGGUUUUUAUAUGCUUGGCUUGGGGAGUGGUUUAGAAGGUGUGGCCCUGUUGGAGUCGGUGUGUCACUGUGGGUGUGGGUGUUAAGACCCUCAUCCCAGCUGCCUGAAAGCCAGUAGUCUGCUGGCUGCCACCAAGAAGGUGGAAGAACACCUUUAAUUCCAGCACUCAGGACACAGAAGCAGGUGGGUGGAUGUCAGUUCCAGGCCCUCCUGGUCUACUUAGUGAGUUCUGGGAUGGCCAGAACUACAUCAUGAGACCUGUCUCAGAAAAAAAGAAAGAAAAAGAAAAUGCUCACAGGUACACCCAGCUGCUUGGCUUUGAAUUGAUUUCAGAUACAGUCAAGUUGACAUCAAGACUAUCCACCAACCAAUCUUUAAUUUAUUCAUUCAAUGGAUAUUUUUAAGUCUAUGUCUGGCAUUAAGUUAAGUGCUAGAGAACCCGGGGAAAAACCAAAAACCAAAAAACAACAACAAUAACAAAACAGGACAGCCAUGUUUUCUGCCUUCAUGAACUUUCUGGAAGGAGAGAAACAGCAUUUAACAGCGUGGAAAGCUGCUUUGUGAAGACAAGUCCUAAGAAUGCCAUCUACAGAGGACUGGGGUGGUGAGAACAUAUGCUAAGUGGUCUUGGUCUCCACUACUGUUGAAAGAAGAGGCUCUGAGGAAAGAGACAUUAGAUAAAGACCCACAGGGGUCCUAGAAAGACUCCAGGUGCUUGACUCCAGUUGUUUGGGGGUUUUUGAGAUGAGAUCAGACUCAGGCUGGCACUGAACUUCGGAUCCUCCUGCCUCAGCUUCUCAGGGUUGAGGCCAGAAAACCAUGCAAACACUUGUUCACACACAAGCCCACAGUUCUCAUCUUACCUCUCUGCAUAGCCAUGACUAUUCCUGGAACUCACUAUGUAAACCAGAGAUCUGCUUGCCACUGCCUCUCAAGUGCUGGGAUUAAAGGGGCUCGUCUGGGUUCAGGAAAGUAUAGCUCCAGUUUAGUGUUCUUAUGGAUCAUCGACUGUACCCAAGACCAGAAACGGAAACAACUAGAUCAUCUUCAACUGAAGAACGGAGACAGAAACGUGAUACAGGUACACAAUGGACUACUUUUCAGCUAUGAAAAAUAAAGACAUCAUGAAUUUUAUAGGGAAAUGGAUGAAUCUUAAGAAUACCAUCCUGACCUAGGAGUCUAUCAUGGAUGUCCUCUGAGAGGCUCUAUCCAGCAGUUGACUCAGAAAGAUGCAGGCACCCACAACCAAACAGUGGAUCAAGCUUGGGGACUCUUAUGGAAGAAUGGCAGAAAAGAUACACUUCCUAAGGAGAUAGGAACUCCACAGGAAGACCAACAAAGUCAACGAACCAGGACCCUUGGGGAUCUCAGAGAUCAAACCACUAUUUAUAUUAAAACAUUUUAGAAUUUAACAAAUGUUAAUUGUUCUUUAACCAUGUGUAGCUAGUAGUACUACGAACAGGAAAAAAUGAAAUAUAAUUUUUUUCACAUAUUUUUAUGAAUGUUAGCACGUGGUUUGUCUAAGGUGAUUUUAGGUUUGAAAUAAUCAACUAAAUGGAGAAAAAUGAAAAAAAGGGAAAGUAUAAGUUUUAUUAGGCACUAGGCAAAUGAAAUUAAUGAACCAGAACAAAAGUCAAAAGUGCACUGUACAGUGGAAAGGACAUCCCCAGAGAUGGACGAGAGGCUGAGCUAACAAUUCAUGAACUGCUACUCACACUUUUACAUAUUGCAUAUGAAUGAUGAACAAUACAGAAAUGGUUUUACUGGACUUGGGCUAUGAAUUUUCCAAUAGAGUUCAGCAAACCCUCCCCCCCAAAAAAAAGCCAAAUUAAAAAUGGAAAGCAAAGGGGCUGGAGAGAUGGCUCAGUGGUUAAGAGCGCUGACUGCUCUUCCAGAGGUCCCGAGUUCAAUUCCCAGCAACCACAUGGUGGAUCACAACCAUCUGUAAUGGGAUCCAACGCCCUCUUCCGGUGUGUCUGAAGAGAGUGACAGUGUGCUCAUAUAAAAUAAAUAAAUAAAACUUUUUUGAAAAACUGGAAAGCAUGUUUGGGAAAGAUGCCAACUUUUGUUGAAGGACGUUCUAAAGGUGUUCCAGUUAAGUGAGAUGAAAGGAUGGAUCUAUUCAGCAUUGUGGAGGUCCUAACAGAUCAAUGAAUGGAUGGCCUUCUCCGAUAUCUAAAUGAAUGUUGGGCAUUAGAUAACAUCACAAAAGUGCAGAUACCAAAACUCAGGGUAAGGGAAUGUUCUUGAGCAACAACCUCUUUUCUUCAGUAAAGAAUGGGAGAAGAGGGAGCGCUCCGUGAAUUAAAACAAGCUAAACACUUACCUCCAUCAACCUCACGGAUGCCUUUAGCUAUCAGGAAUCCAGCCAAAUAAGCCAUGAGAUAACUGGGGAAUUAGAACAGUGGUCAGACAUAUCCUCAUAUCAGGAAUCACUCAAUUUUAAAUGUGUGAUAAAUGGGCUGGAGAGAUGGUUCAAUGGCGAAGAACACUUGUUGGAGAGGUUUGGGGUUCAGUUCCUAGCACAUACACAGUGGAUUACAGCUGCCUAUGCCUCCAAUUUGAGAGGAUCGAACACUUUGGGCACUGCAUGCAUGUAGUACACGUACAUACCACACAGGCAAAACAUUCAUACCCAUAAAAUAGUAAUUCUGUGUUUGCAGCUCACUGAAGAAAAGUCUGAUCCUUUGAACACGUGAAGAGUUCAUAGCAAUCCACAUAGAAAAGAUGAAGAAUCCAGAGAGAAAUUGACAAUGGAGAUGAAUGCAAAAUUCACAGGAGAGAGGUGGACCCUCCUGCACCAAAUCAGCAAUCAGGAAGAUGCUCCAUGGGUUCGUAAUUUGCAGAAGAGAUGAUUACCCACCUGACUCUGGUCUGUGGCUGCAGCAAAAGCGGGCACACCCCUCCAGACCUUCAUAUUGAAAACUAGGCAAAACCAGCUUCCCAGGAUGUGGCUCUCACUGGGGUCAGACUGAACCUUAUGGAAUGUGGGGCACGAGAGUCCAGGAUGGAUUCAUGCUCAGGAAAUCAAAAAGUAUAUUUACUUAAAAAGAAGACUC
rnacentral:lncRNA from 1 species